GACGAACGCUGGCGGCGUGCUUAACACAUGCAAGUCGAGCGGUAAGGCCCUUUCGGGGGUACGACGAGCGGCGAACGGGUGAGUAACACGUGGGUGACCUGCCCUCAGCUCUGGGAUAAGCCCGGGAAACUGGGUCUAAUACCGGAUAUGACUCCAUGACGCAUGUUGUGGGGUGGAAAGCCUUGUGCGGCUGAGGAUGGGCCCGCGGCCUAUCAGCUUGUCGGUGGGGUGAUGGCCACCAAGGCGACGACGGGUAGCCGGCCUGAGAGGGCGACCGGCCACACUGGGACUGAGAUACGGCCCAGACUCCUACGGGAGGCAGCAGUGGGGAAUCUUGCGCAAUGGGCGAAAGCCUGACGCAGCGACGCCGCGUGAGGGAUGACGGCCU
rnacentral:rRNA from 1 species